CAGAAAAUCAAAAUUUUAUUUUUUCUAUCUGUCUCUUCCCUGCGCAGCUGCCGUCUCUGUCUCUCUUUCAACCCAUUCUCUGCCUCUCCUUCAAUCCAUUGUCACAGCAGCCCCAGCUCAUACCCAAACACUGAAACUUAGCAUUUGAAACCAAACCCCCAAACACUCACACUCCCUCUUUCUCGUAUGUGAAGCUGUCCCAAGUCCCAACUCUCAUGUAGUGAAGGUCCAUCCCCAACAUAGAAGAAGAUCGAGCAAGACAAGAACAGAACACAGAAAGACAGAAGUCAGAAGAACAACCUCAAAUUCCUCUGCUUCUUUCCACCAUGCACGCUUCAUUCUCGAUCUAGGACUCGCCCUUUCCACAAGAUGUCCUGUACAAGUAAUGCAUUAGGUCAGGAAGGACAUUUGCAAGUGUUGCAUUUGCAAGCUCCGGCCACAAAAAUUGAUGGUGCAAGAGAUCCUCGACUCAAAGAAGUGUUGCAAGUGGAGAGAAUAGGUGGCCCACAAUAUCGAGCAAUUUUUUUAGUUUAGAAUCAUGUUUUUUAAACUUUGGCUAAGUGCUCUAAUGAUUGUUCAUAUGCCAAUUAGUUUGGCAAUGAUGUACUAGUGAUUUGUGUGAGAUGUAUUCAUGAGCAGAUUAUGAUCCUCAUUUUGUUAUUAAAAAAAAUAAAAAAUUCAGCACCUAUGUGCAAUUUAUACAAA